rnacentral:rRNA from 1 species
AGCGAACGCUGGCGGCAGGCCUAACACAUGCAAGUCGAGCGCCCGUAGCAAUACGGGAGCGGCAGACGGGUGAGUAACACGUGGGAACGUACCCUUCGGUUCGGAAUAACCCAGGGAAACUUGGACUAAUACCGGAUACGUCCGUAAGGAGAAAGAUUUAUCGCCGAAGGAUCGGCCCGCGUCCGAUUAGCUUGUUGGUGGGGUAAUGGCCCACCAAGGCGACGAUCGGUAGCUGGUCUGAGAGGAUGAUCAGCCACACUGGGACUGAGACACGGCCCAGACUCCUACGGGAGGCAGCAGUGGGGAAUAUUGGACAAUGGGUGCAAGCCUGAUCCAGCCAUGCCGCGUGGGUGAUGAAGGCCCUAGGGUUGUAAAGCCCUUUCGGCGGGGAAGAUAAUGACGGUACCCGCAGAAGAAGCCCCGGCUAACUUCGUGCCAGCCGCCGCCGUAACAC